CUGCUUCUUGCUUCAACAAUGUUUAGAUGGAACAG
rfam:Camelus ferus unplaced genomic scaffold scaffold940, whole genome shotgun sequence.